rnacentral:rRNA from 1 species
AACGAACGCUGGCGGCAUGCCUAACACAUGCAAGUCGAACGAGACCUUCGGGUUUAGUGGCGAACGGGUGCGUAACGCGUGGGAACCUGCCCUUAGGUUCGGAAUAACUCCCCGAAAGGGGUGCUAAUACCGGAUAAUGUCUUCGGACCAAAGAUUUAUCGCCUUUGGAUGGGCCCGCGUUGGAUUAGCUAGUUGGUAGGGUAAAAGCCUACCAAGGCGACGAUCCAUAGCUGGUCUGAGAGGAUGAUCAGCCACACUGGGACUGAGACACGGCCCAGACUCCGACGGGAGGAAGCAGUGGGGAAUAUUGGACAGUGGGCGAAAGCCUGAUCCAGCAAUGCCGCGUGAGUGAUGAAGGCCUUAGGGUUGUAAAGCUCUUUUACCCGGGAUGAUAAUGACAGUACCGGGAGAAUAAGCUCCGGCUAACUCCGUG